AGUGAACGCUGGCGGUAGGCCUAACACAUGCAAGUCGAACGGCAGCACAGUAAGAGCUUGCUCUUACGGGUGGCGAGUGGCGGACGGGUGAGGAAUACAUCGGAAUCUACUCUUUCGUGGGGGAUAACGUAGGGAAACUUACGCUAAUACCGCAUACGACCUACGGGUGGAAGCAGGGGAUCUUCGGACCUUGCGCGAUUGAAUGAGCCGAUGUCGGAUUAGCUAGUUGGCGGGGUAAAGGCCCACCAAGGCGACGAUCCGUAGCUGGUCUGAGAGGAUGAUCAGCCACACUGGAACUGAGACACGGUCCAGACUCCUACGGGAGGCAGCAGUGGGGAAUAUUGGACAAUGGGCGCAAGCCUGAUCCAGCCAUACCGCGUGGGUGAAGAAGGCCUUCGGGUUGUAAAGCCCUUUUGUUGGGAAAGAAAAGCAGCAGGUUAAUACCCCGCUGUUCUGACGGUACCCAAAGAAUAAGCACCGGCUAACUUCGUG
rnacentral:rRNA from 1 species